UUUCGUUCCGAAGGAGCCCCGCUGACAUCGCGCAGCUGCUUGACAUGCCCGGUGGAUUUUUUUAAUCCCAUUUCGGGCCAAAGAGCCUGUCUGCCAUGCGGCUCGGAGGCAGCGCAGCCUGCGGAAGGGCAAGAGACCUGCGUCUGUCUUGGGAAAGGUCAAGUGUUUCAGCCCCGUGACGCUCACUGCACAUGCCCUCCAGGUUACUGGAGGUCCUUCGGUGACGGAAGGCGCUGUGUCAGACAAGCAUACGAUACCUGUCGAGAUUCAGCCUCCCGAAAUCAGGAAGGACAGUGUUUAACCAAGACAGGAUGGGUUCGUUAUUGCUCUGAGAAGGUUUGUCCAGUCCCCACAGAUUAUCAAGGCUACGACAAGGUUCUUGGCCUCUGCAUUUGUCAGCCUGACAGUCUGGAGAGUGUGUGUAAUUCUCAGUGUAGAAGGCAACAAAGAGACACUCUGCAGGUCACCCGUACCGAGAAAAACACUCAGCUUUUUAUCACUUACAGAAACGGGAGCAAGACUGCUGUUUUCCUAGAAGAAUUAAGAGCAGUUCUACUCAGACCGUAUUUCUCUUUUAAAGACGUCUGCACCUCGGAACAAAGCAAAUACACCCAUCCAACCUACAUCGUGAAAAUGAGUGGUAAGGGAAAGAGUAACAAGAGCUUUAUUAUUCCCUGGGUGUUAGAUACACAACAAGCCUUUCCAUGAUAUUUAUAAAUACACACA
rnacentral:lncRNA from 1 species